AUUGAACGCUGGCGGCAGGCUUAACACAUGCAAGUCGAGCGGGGUGAUGGUGCUUGCACUACCACUUAGCGGCGGACGGGUGAGUAAUGCUUAGGAAUCUGCCUAUUAGUGGGGACAACAUCUCGAAAGGGAUGCUAAUACCGCAUACGUCCUACGGGAGAAAGCAGGGGAUCACUUGUGACCUUGCGCUAAUAGAUGAGCCUAAGUCGGAUUAGCUAGUUGGUGGGGUAAAGGCCUACCGAGGCGACGAUCUGUAGCGGGUCGGAGAGGAUGAUCCGCCACACUGGGACUGAGACAAGGCCCAGACGCCUACGGGAGGCAGCAGUGGGGAAUAUUGGACAAUGGGGGGAACCCUGAUCCAGCCAUGCCGCGUGUGUGAAGAAGGCCUUAUGGUUGUAAAGCACUUUAAGCGAGGAGGAGGCUCUUUUGGUUAAUACCCAAGAUGAGUGGGCGUUACUCGCAGAAUAAGCACCGGCUAACUCUGUGCCAGCCGCCGCUGUAA
rnacentral:rRNA from 1 species